rnacentral:rRNA from 1 species
CUGCGGAAGGAUCAUUACCGAGUUUUCGAGCUCCGGCUCGACUCUCCCACCCUUUGUGAACGUACCUCUGUUGCUUUGGCGGCUCCGGCCGCCAAAGGACCUUCAAACUCCAGUCAGUAAACGCAGACGUCUGAUAAACAAGUUAAUAAACUAAAACUUUCAACAACGGAUCUCUUGGUUCUGGCAUCGAUGAAGAACGCAGCGAAAUGCGAUAAGUAAUGUGAAUUGCAGAAUUCAGUGAAUCAUCGAAUCUUUGAACGCACAUUGCGCCCCUUGGUAUUCCGGGGGGCAUGCCUGUUCGAGCGUCAUUACAACCCUCAAGCUCUGCUUGGAAUUGGGCACCGUCCUCACUGCGGACGCGCCUCAAAGACCUCGGCGGUGGCUGUUCAGCCCUCAAGCGUAGUAGAAUACACCUCGCUUUGGAGCGGUUGGCGUCGCCCGCCGGACGAACCUUCUGAACUUUUCUCAAGGUUGACCUCGGAUCAGGUAGGGAUACCCGCUGAACUUAAGCAUAUCA